AAACUCAAAUGAAUUGACGGGGACCCGCACAAGCGGUGGAACAUGUGGUUUAAUUCGACGCAAAGCGAAAACCUCACCAAGGUUGACAUACCAAUCGUAUCCCUAAGAAACUAGGGAGUCAGUUCGGCUGGAUUGGAUACAGGUGUUGCAUGGCUGUCGUCAGCUCGUGUCGUGAGAUGUCGGGUUAAGUCCUUUAACGAGCGCAACCCUCAUUGCAUGUUAAUUUUUCAUGCGAGACUGCCCUGGUUAACAGGGAGGAAGGUGGGGAUGACGUCAAGUCAGCAUGGCCCUUACACCUUGGGCUACACACGUGUUACAAUGGCCGGUACAAUAAGUCGCAAUACCGUAAGGUGGAGCUAAUCUAUGAAAACCGGUCCCAGUUCGGAUUGGGGGCUGAAACUCGCCCCCAUGAAGUCGGAAUCGCUAGUAACCGUGAAUCAGCACGUCACGGUGAAUACGUUCCCGGGCCUU
rnacentral:rRNA from 1 species